CCUGGAGCUACCUUCCGGGUUCCAUGGCCCUGGGGCCCUGGGGCCCUGGGGACAGGGAGGGAAUGGGAUGCACAGCGGCCAGGGGUGUUCAGCGUCACCGGUGGAAGGGGUGAAACCUGUUCUUCCUGGUGGUGAGGGUUUGCCCCUUGACUCCGGAAAGCAGAGACCGUGGAGCAGGGCCCACUUCAAAGCACAGUGCUGGGGGCUGUGGCCUCGGCCCUCUGUGGACGUGGGCGGAUGGGUGGCCCUGGACUGGUGAAGGACUGGCCGGGAGUUCUGUAGGGCCCCCACCUCCUGCCAGCGCCCAGCCCACAGUCGACCACUGCCUGCCCGGGGCAGGAGACUUCC
rnacentral:lncRNA from 10 species